rnacentral:rRNA from 1 species
GAAGAAGGCCUUCGGGUUGUAAACCGCUUUUAGUCGGGAAGAAAAGAUCACUCUUAAUACGGGUGGUUCUUGACGGUACCGGCGGAAUAAGCACCGGCUAACUACGUGCCAGCAGCCGCGGUAAUACGUAGGGUGCGAGCGUUAAUCGGAAUUACUGGGCGUAAAGCGUGCGCAGGCGGUUCGUUAAGUUUGUCGUGAAAGCCCCGGGCUCAACCUGGGAAUGGCGAUGGAAACUGGCGGGCUUGAGUGUGGCAGAGGGGGGUGGAAUUCCACGUGUAGCAGUGAAAUGCGUAGAGAUGUGGAGGAACACCGAUGGCGAAGGCAGCCCCCUGGGCUAACACUGACGCUCAGGCACGAAAGCGUGGGGAGCAAACAGGAUUAGAUACCCUGGUAGUCCACGCCCUAAACUAUGUCAACUGGGUGUUGGGGAAGCGAUUCCUCAGUACCGUAGCUAACGCGUGAAGUUGACCGCCUGGGGAGUACGGCCGCAAGGUUAAAACUCAAAGGAAUUGACGG